rnacentral:rRNA from 1 species
AACGAACGCUGGCGGCAGGCCUAACACAUGCAAGUCGAGCGAGGACUUCGGUCCUAGCGGCGGACGGGUGAGUAACGCGUGGGAACGUGCCCUUUGCUACGGAAUAGCCCCGGGAAACUGGGAGUAAUACCGUAUGUGCCCGAGAGGGGAAAGAUUUAUCGGCAAAGGAUCGGCCCGCGUUGGAUUAGGUAGUUGGUGGGGUAAUGGCCUACCAAGCCGACGAUCCAUUGCUGGUUUGAGAGGAUGAUCAGCCACACUGGGACUGAGACACGGCCCAGACUCCUACGGAAGGAAGGAGUGGGGAAUCUUUGACAAUGGGGGAAACCCGGAUCUAGCCAUGCCGCGUGAGCGAUUAAGGCCUUAGGGUUGUAAAGCUCUUUCAGUGGGGAAGAUAAUGACGGUACCCACAGAAGAAGCCCCGGCUAACUCCGUGCCAGCAGCCGCCGUAACAC